UCUACGUCGGCGACCGGCGCACGGGUGCGUAACGCGUAUGCAACCUACCCAUUACAGGGGGAUAACACUGAGAAAUCGGUACUAAUACCCCAUAACAUCCAGGGAGGCAUCUUCUUGGGUUGAAAACUCCGGUGGUAAUGGAUGGGCAUGCGUUGUAUUAGUUAGUUGGUGGGGUAACGGCUCACCAAGACAACGAUACAUAGGGGGACUGAGAGGUUAACCCCCCACAUUGGUACUGAGACACGGACCAAACUCCUACGGGAGGCAGCAG
rnacentral:rRNA from 1 species